GACAGAGGGUGCGAACGUUGUUCGGAAUUACUGGGCGUAAAGCGCAUGUAGGCGGCAGCGCAAGUCGGGCGUGAAAUCCCACGGCUCAACCGUGGAAGUGCACUCGAAACGGCGCAGCUAGAGUCCUGGAGAGGAAGGUGGAAUGCUUGGUGUAGAGGUGAAAUACGUAGAUAUCAAGCGGAACACCGGUGGCGAAGGCGGCCUUCUGGACAGUGACUGACGCUGAGAUGCGAAAGCGUGGGGAGCAAACAGG
rnacentral:rRNA from 1 species